GAACGACACAAUGAAAACAGAUAAAAACCUCAAACUAUUAGAAUAACCCGAUCGCUCGUUGUAAUAUCUCGAGCUAAUCAAGUAAGAGAAGCAAACAAAAUGAACAAUGGACAUCAACAUCAUGGAGAUGGUGACAAAGGAGGUGGACAUACUUGCAUCAUUUUAUAAAGAAACAAACUAGUACUUUUAUACCUGUGUGCUAAUGCACUUUUCAUACAUGUACAUGUAGCUAUAGUACAUUGAUGGUGUUUUCUUAGUUAUAAUAUUAGUAAGGUAUCAU